AUCUCAAAACUUGGAAUAAAGAUGUGCACAUUUUAAAAAGAAACUUGUCAUACCGCUUCAGUGUUUUUGUUGAUCUAAUCCAUUUUUAUUCUCUCUUACACAUUCUGGAGAUGUUCUUCACAUUUUUCAUAAACUUGGUUAAUAUACUUGAAGUGUUUUAUAACCUGUUUUUCUUUGAAUACAAGUGAAUCAUUGCUUGUGGAUUCAUAAAAAAUAUUUAUAUGGAGGAUGCAUGUCAGGUGUUAUUUACUUCAAGGUCAUCCCAUCAUAAGUUUUUAUAUUCACAAUUAUGUUUAUGAUCAUGAUGUUCCCAAGCAGUAUAUUAUGCAUGGUUAUGCAUGGUUGAAGAGGACACUUUUGUUUUAAAUUGAUUGUUAAUCUAUACGGCUCAUGCCAUUUUGAUAAAAUGCUCAAGAACACGAACGAAAACAUCAUCAGACCAUUUGCCAACUUGAUUGUCCAUAAACCAGGUGACAUCGUUCCAAAUCUCUUGGGGAAAAUUUCACAUGACUGAAUUAUGUUUACGUCUCCACUAAUCAUGAUAGAUUAUUUUAAGCACCUCGCCCUUCAGGCCUCGGGGCUGUGGAUUGGGACUACAAGUAGAUAUGAUAAAGAGUGAUCAAAUAUACAACCAAGAAUAAACGAAGCCAGCCGGCUCUAGACCAAUAAAGGCUAACCGGUGAUGGAAUAAAGGUCAACCUGAUUAAGUUACGGGCUCUGAACCAACAACGAAAAAUUAAACAAGG
rnacentral:lncRNA from 1 species